AACUUGGGCUAAGCCCGUAACUAAUCCUGCCCAUUGGGCCUCCUCCUUUGGUACGUAGUACCGGACAUAACAUCUCUCUCCGCCUGCGCAAACAGCUCGUCCUCGUGCUGGAAUUCUGGAUAGUGCUGACUGAAUUUGUCAUGCUGCUCCCAAGCCGCGUCGUCCUCUGGAAGGCCGUUGCGCGCGCGAGGGAGGUGGCGGCGCAGCUAGGGUUCUGGCUCCUCUGGGAGCCGGGCAAUAGAGUUAUGACUAUAUUGCUUAAUUCCAAAAGAGUUGUUUACAUCGGUUUAUAAAAUCUCGAUAACUUGGACUCUAAGGUAACUAAGAUAACUUGGACUCUAAGAUAACUUGACACUAAGAUAACUUGGGCUAAGCCCGUAACUAAUCCUGCCCAUCGGGCCUCCUCCUUUAGUACGUAGUACCGGUCAUAACAUCUCUCCCCGCCUGCGCAAACAACUCGUCCUCGAGCUGGAAAUCUAGAUAGUGCUGACUGAAUUCGUCACGUUGCUCCCAAGUCGCGUCGUCCUCUAGAAGGCUGUUGCGCACGCGAGGGAGGCGGCGGCGCAGCUAGGGUUCCUU
rnacentral:lncRNA from 1 species